CGAGCAAUCUGCCCUUCUCAUCGGAAUAAGCGUUGGAAACGACGUCUAAUGCCGAAUACGACCUCCUUUCGCAUGAUCGGAGGUGGAAAGCUCCGGCGGAGAAGGAUGAGCUCGCGGCCUAUCAGCUAGUUGGUGUGGGUAAUGGCCCACAAGGCGACGAUCCAUAGCUGGUCUGAGAGGACAUCAGCCANACUGGGACUGAGACACGGCA
rnacentral:rRNA from 1 species